UAGCAUAAUCCCUUGCCAGGUAAGAAAUUUGCCUGUUUAGAGAGUGAUCUCUAUAAGAAAUUCGGCUAAUAACGGUGAAACCCUAAUUCUUUUAUGUUAAAAUGAAAGAAUGGGCAAUACCGUGGGAAGUGAGCACGUAAAUUUUAUGUGCUUCACCCCGUAGAGACUUAACUCUUACUAAGGCUAAGAGAGUUUAAUGGUAGCAAACCUAUCAUUACACGCUAGUUCCCAUUAAUAAAUGGGAAAAGGUAUAGUCCGUACCAUAAGUAAUUAUGGAAUGAUACGGUCGUCAGCAGGUGCCGUGAGGUGCUCUCUUAAAUGAGGAAACCUGCGCAACCCUUGCUCUAUGUUUUAUUUGUCAUAGAGGACUGCCUUAUUUUAUAAGGAGGAAGGCGAGGAUGACGCCAAAUCAGCAUGGCCCUUAUGCCCUGGGCCGCACACGUGGUACAAUGGCCGGUACAAAGAGUUGCCAAAGCGCAAGCUGGAGCCAAUCUCAUCAAAGCCGGUCUCAGUUCGGAUUGAGGUCUGAAACUCGACCUCAUGAAGUUGGAAUCGCUAGUAAUCGCGUAUCAGCUAUGUCGCGAUGAAUAUGUCCAUGGACCUUGUACUCACAAUUAAACGCGCCCGGCAGAUACAUAAGCUAAAGAGUUAAAAUCUCUUUCUCU
rnacentral:rRNA from 1 species